rnacentral:tRNA from 1 species
GGAUAGUUUUGUGGUCAGGUUGUUUGACUCCCAGCCGAAAGGUUCUGGGUUCGAUCCCCAGGCAUCCA